rnacentral:rRNA from 1 species
ACGGGAGGCAGCAGUGAGGAAUAUUGGUCAAUGGACGGAAGUCUGAACCAGCCAUGCCGCGUGAAGGAUUAAGGCCCUAUGGGUCGUAAACUUCUUUUGACGGGGAGCAAUAAGGCGUACGUGUACGCCGAUGAGAGUACUCGUCGAAUAAGCAUCGGCUAACUCCGUGCCAGCAGCCGCGGUAAUACGGAGGAUGCAAGCGUUAUCCGGAUUCAUUGGGUUUAAAGGGUGCGUAGGCUGUGCUGCAAGUCAGGGGUGAAAGCCCGGCGCCUAACGCCGGAACUGCCUUUGAUACUGCAGUGCUGGAAUACUGUUGCCGUGGGAGGAAUGAGUAGUGUAGCGGUGAAAUGCAUAGAUAUUACUCAGAACACCGAUUGCGAAGGCAUCUCACGAAACAGUCAUUGACGCUGAGGCACGAAAGCGUGGGGAUCAAACAGGAUUAGAUACCCUGGUA